rnacentral:rRNA from 1 species
UUCUGGCUCAGGAUGAACGCUGGCGGCGUGCAUAACACAUCAAGUCGAACGAUGAAGGGACUUCGGUCCUGGAAUAGUGGCGGACGGGUGAGUAACGCGUGAGCAACCUGCCUUGCAUUGGGGAUAACGUUGGAAACGAACGCUAAUACCGCAUAACGUAUAAAUAUCGCAUGUUAGAUAUACCAAAGAUUUAUUGAUGCAAGAUGGGCUCGCGUCCGAUUAGAUAGUUGGUGAGGUAACGGCCCACCAAGUCGACGAUCGGUAGCCGGACUGAGAGGUUGAACGGCCACAUUGGAACUGAGAAACGGUCCAGACUCCUACGGGAGGCAGCAGUGGGGAAUAUUGGGCAAUGGGCGAAAGCCUGACCCAGCGACGCCGCGUGAGGGAAGAAGAUCUUCGGAUUGUAAACCUCUUUCAGCAAGGAAGAAGAAAGUGACGGUACUUGCAGAAGAAGCCACGGCUAACUACGUGCCAGCCGCCGC